rnacentral:rRNA from 1 species
UACGAAGGGGGCUAGCGUUGCUCGGAAUCACUGGGCGUAAAGCGCACGUAGGCGGAUCGUUUAAGUCAGGGGUGAAAUCCUGGAGCUCAACUCCAGAACUGCCUUUGAUACUGGCGAUCUUGAGUUCGGGAGAGGUGAGUGGAACUGCGAGUGUAGAGGUGAAAUUCGUAGAUAUUCGGAGGAACACCAGUGGCGAAGGCGGCUCACUGGUCCGGUACUGACGCUGAGGUGCGAAAGCGUGGGGAGCAAACAGG